rnacentral:ncRNA from 1 species
UCGAUUAAAGAGCAAGUAACAUUAAAAUAAUAUUUAAAGUUUGAUUCUUGCUUGUAUGUUUCUCAGGAGUACGAUCUACAUGUGCUAUGUUCCUAUAAAGUUUAGUGAGCAGUAGAUAAUAUUAUUAUUAAAGUUAUAUUUAAUGUAGCUUACCCUCGUCUUUGAUAGAAGCCGUGCCAGCGAUUGCGGUUAUACGGCUGAAGCUAGAAACUUUUUGGUAAAAUAGAGUCAAAUUGAAAAAUUAAACCUGUAUAGGCCCUUGCUGAUUGCGGGUAAAAUUUAAAAUCUGCUCAUUGCAAUUAGAGUUUAAUCUGUAUUGAACGCUUCUUAAAGUGUGGAAAUAAACCCGGAUUAGAUACCCGGCUAUCCCACUGUAAAAAUUUUACCUGGGGAUUACAAGGUAUUUAGAAAACUAAAGGAUUUGGCGGUACUCUACUCUAAUCAGAGGAACUUGUCCUGUAAUCGACAACCCUCGAAAAGUUUACUCCCCUUCCUUAAUUUGCAUACCGCUGUCGCCAGAAGGCUUCUAGAGAUACGGCCUUCUUCUUUUAAAAUCUAAUGGACGUCAAGUCAAGGUGCAGUUUAUAGGGGAGAGUGCAUUGAUGAGUUACAUUAAAUUUAUUUAUACGGUAAUAGGCUGGAAUAAAAUCUAUUUUAAGGUGGAUUUGUCUGUAAAUUUAUAUCAUUGUGAUAAUUUGAAGCUAGCGCUAGAGUGUGCACACAUCGCCCGUCGCUCUCUCCACGCAGGCGAGAUAAGUCGUAACAUAGUAGGUGUAUUGGAAAAUGUACCUGGUUUUAU